rnacentral:lncRNA from 1 species
GGAGCGCAAGGGCUCCCUGACCCUCCGCUCCCAUCACAAGAAAUACUCGAAGCCGGUGUUGGUGUAUUCCUGGCACCGUGACAGAGAAGCUUUUCCCAAAGGUUAUGAUAUAGAGGGUCCUGAGAAAGUUAAAAAACUGUGUAAUUCAACAUAUCGGCGACUGGGAACCGAUGAAUCCCCAAUUUGGACAUCAGAAACACAUGAAAAGUUGUCACAAAUGUGUUUAAACACAGAAUGGGUUGAAAUGAAGAGCAAGGCUUUAUUGAAUGAGGAAACAGUGAGCUCCGGGAUUAUCGAAAGGGUCACCGGAUUGCCUGCCACAGGUUUUGGAGCUGUCUUUCCUAGACAUCCACCGGAUUGGAGCAAAAUGUUAGUAGUCCCUAAACUGCUACAACUGUACAAAAUGUUUCUUGAUUCAGAAGGUUUGUUUGCAGGGGCAAAGGUAUGACAGGGUGAGCCAAGGUCAACAAAAUGCCCUUUACAUGACAUCUUCGACUUGCCUUUAACCAAAUGUUUUCUCCUUUCACAUGCACAACAUUAAUAACCGUAA